GCCUCGUGCCUGAAAGGGCGACGGGCUUGCCCGGAGCGAGAAGUCAGCAGAGGUCGUAGUAGUCGGGUUUCCCGACGAAGGGC
rfam:Variovorax paradoxus strain TBEA6 VPARA_contig000013, whole genome shotgun sequence.